CCAAUAGCGUAUAUUAAAGUUGUUGCAGUUAAAAAGCUCGUAGUUGAAUUUCGGGAUCAAUAUGUUGGUCGUGCCUUUGGUACGUACUAGUUUAUUGGUUUCUUCCUUCUGACGAACCAUGAUGUCAUUAAUUUGGUGUCAUGGGGAAUCAGGACUGUUACUUUGAAAAAAUUAGAGUGUUUAAAGCAGGCUUCACGCUUGAAUACAUUAGCAUGGAAUAAUGAAAUAGGACGUUUGAUUCUAUUUUGUUGGUUUUUAGGAUCGACGUAAUGAUUAAUAGGGAUAGUUGGGGGCAUUAGUAUUCAAUUGUCAGAGGUGAAAUUCUUGGAUUUAUUGAAGACUAACUACUGCGAAAGCAUUUGCCAAGGAUGUUUUCAUUAAUCAAGAACGAAAGUUAGGGGAUCGAAGACGAUCAGAUACCGUCGUAGUCUUAACCAUAAACUAUGCCGACUAGGGAUCGGAUGAUGUUAAUUUUUUAAUGACUCAUUCGGCGCCUUACG
rnacentral:rRNA from 1 species